rnacentral:rRNA from 1 species
GAACGAGAAAGUGGAGCAAUCCAUGAGUAAAGUGGCGCACGGGUGAGUAACACGUGACUAACCUACCCUCGAGUGGGGAAUAACUUCGGGAAACCGAGGCUAACACCGCAUAACAUCUACGGAUCAAAUGCGUAAGCAGCUUGAGGAGGGGGUCGCGGCUGAUUAGCUAGUUGGCGGGGUAAUGGCCCACCAAGGCAAUGAUCAGUAGCCGGCCUGAGAGGGCGCACGGCCACACUGGAACUGAAACACGGUCCAGACUCCUACGGGAGGCAGCAGUGGGGAAUUUUGCGCAAUGGGGGAAACCCUGACGCAGCAACGCCGCGUGGAGGAUGAAGCCCCUUGGGGUGUAAACUCCUUUCGAUCGGGACGAUAAUGACGGUACCGGAUGAAGAAGCACCGGCUAACUCUGUG